CCCAGUUGGCGCUUUCUCAGCGCGCUGACCUGUGGUCGAGGCUUGGAGCCGACCUCUGGAGAGGGCAGAGGCCCCAAGCGGAGAUUUCUUUUCUAGAUCAAUACUGAAUGGAUCAAAUCGGAAAGAAGCCUCUCUGGCCAGAAAAAGAAGAAAUAACAUCCCUAAAGGAGGAACGUGUAAAUCAGGAAUUGAGCCAAGAAAAGCAUGGGAGAUGAACUUCUUCUCUGUCUCCAUAAUUCUUAAGAGGAAGAAUUAAUGAGAAUUGAAAGGAGAAGCUUCUGCUGGAAGAAUAAUGCUUGAGUUCCAGG
rnacentral:lncRNA from 1 species